GGGCCCGUCGUCUAGCCUGGUUAGGACGCCGCCCUGACGCGGCGGAGGUCCGGGGUUCAAAUCCCCGCGGGCCCA
rnacentral:tRNA from 3 species